UCGGGAAUAUUGCGCAAUGGAGGAAACUCUGACGCAGUGACGCCGCGUAUAGGAAGAAGGUUUUCGGAUUGUAAACUAUUGUCGUUAGGGAAGAUACAAGACAGUACCUAAGGAGGAAGCUCCGGCUAACUACGUGCCAGCAGCCGCGGUAAUACGUAGGGAGCAAGCGUUAUCCGGAUUUAUUGGGUGUAAAGGGUGCGUAGACGGGACAACAAGUUAGUUGUGAAAUCCCUCGGCUCAACUGAGGAACUGCAACUAAAACUAUUGUUCUUGAGUGUUGGAGAGGAAAGUGGAAAUUCCUAGUGUAGCGGUGAAAUGCGUAGAUAUUAGGAGGAAACACCGGUGGCGAAGGCGACUUUCUGGACAAUAACUGACGUUGAGGCACGAAAAGUGUGGGGAGCAAACAGGAUUAGAUACC
rnacentral:rRNA from 1 species